GACAGAGGGGGCAAGCGUUGCUCGGAAUUACUGGGCGUAAAGGGCGCGUAGGCGGGAUGGCAAGUCGGUCGUGAAAUCCCUCGGCUCAACCGAGGAACGUCGAUCGAUACUGCUGUUCUUGAGGAUUGCAGAGGAGACUGGAAUUCCCGGUGUAGCGGUGAAAUGUGUAGAGAUCGGGAGGAACACCAGUGGCGAAGGCGGCCUUCUGGACCAAUACUGACGCUCAUGCACGAAAGCGUGGGGAGCAAACAGG
rnacentral:rRNA from 1 species